rnacentral:rRNA from 1 species
UACAUAGGCCCUAAGCGUUAUCCGGAAUUACUGGGUGUAAAGAGUUCGUAGGUGGAUAUGACAGUUGUGUAUGAAAGUCCGGGGCUCAACCCCGCGAUUGUAUGCAAUACUCCAUGUCUAGAGUCGGGGAGAGGAAAGCAGAAUAGUAUGAGUAGGGGUGCAAUCCGUUGAUACAUACUAGAAUACCAAAAGCGAAGGCAGCUUUCUGGAACCGUACUGACACUGAGGAACGAAAGCGUGGGGAGCGAAAAGG